GCCAGUGAUGAGUUGAUCCACUUUGUUAUAGGUGUAGUUGAGCCAAGUCCCUGCUUGUCAGGGAGAACCUACUUGGUGGAGGCUACAUUACAAUGACAUUAAUGGAUUUUUCUGAAGC